rnacentral:lncRNA from 1 species
CCCACCAGGGGACCAUGGCCCUGGCCGCCUGCUCCUCGCCUCCCAGGAAGCCCCUGCUCUGCGGACCGCCCAGCCUCUGGGCCUGAACGCAGCCAUUUGCCCCUCUGCCCUGCGCAUCUCCCUUUGGCUUCACCCAACUCAGCAAGGGACGCUGUCCAAGGCCUUCAAAGCGGGCCCCUGAACCCUAGAAGCCUCCUGCCCCUGGAAACAUCUAGAAGGCACCCCGUGCCACCACACACUGAGCUCCCCACCCAGACCCAGCGGCCGCCUCCGUCUUGGGCACCCGGGUGGGCGAGGACCUGCUGAACCCGGAAAGCUGAACAGGAGGAGGACGCUGAGGGAGGGAAAAGCCCAGAGGAAACUCAGUCCCCUGCUCACACCCCGCAGGGCGCCAGCCGCCUGGGUGCUCGCGCUGCCACCUGUGGGCACACGGAGGCCGCUUCGGUUCCAAAUCUGUGUCACCCAGGGAAGCCCUCAGUGCCCUGCCCCUCGACCCUUGGCCCCGCGGUCCCAGGGAGAAGACAUCCCGGGAAGUCCCAAGGGCGCUUCUCCGGAUGCUCGGAGCUGCCAGGGCAGCGCCAUGAGGGACACUUACAAAGAGGACAGGAACUUGGUUUUCUGGCAGGAAAAGCUCCUUCAGCGUAGAACACUCGACAGACGCCGGCAGAGCAGGUGGACUUGCGGGAGGCCCGAAAGCGCUGCCCUGUCGCUGACCCCAAACGGAUUUCAGCGCCUCCAUGAGGAGGAAACUUAAGGCAUGAAGGCGGUGACACACGUGACACUCCUGCCUGCUGGCAGCUGAGCCCUCACCCUCCAGCUUGGGAGGGGUCUUCAUUCCGAUGGAAGCAUCCAGACCCAGCUCUGAAGAGAAAACCACAGCCAACAGGAUCCAUCGUUACUCAUGAUCUUCCUGUGACUCCCUCCUCCACCCCCAGGGACCUCCGGUAAAGACAGUGUCCAGGGACAUGUAGGGCCAUCGGGAAGUGCGUGGUGAGGGAAGCCACUGGAGACAUUUGGUACUUCUUUCCUUCUGUUGAUACUCCUGAUACUAGUGAGACUACCAUGAAGCAGACAUGCUCCCAAAUGCCCAAAAGGUGUCAAGAACAAUAACGUUGAGAAAAACAAAACAUUCCCAGGGAGAAAAGACC